AUUUUUAGAAAUAAUUCCUCAUGCUAAAAUAUUACAAGUUAUUUCCCUCAAAUUUAAAGGACCUGGCGGUGAUUUAAUCCAAUUAGAGGAACCUGUAUCAUAAACGAUACACCACGCAAUAUCUUACCUAUUCUUACAGCCUGUAUACCGUCAUUAUAAGAUAACUCUAACAAGAUUAGUUUUCCUGAUAAAAUUAUUCUUAAUAUAUUAGAUCAAGGUGCAACCUAUGAAUAGGUGCUUAUGGGUUACAAUAUAACUUUAUAUACACGAAUUUAAGAAUUAAAAACUUUUUGAAGGAGGAUUUAAUAGUAAGAUUAGUUUAAUAAGCUAAACUGAUAAUGGAUCUAAAUCAAGUACAUAUCGCCCGUCGCUUUCGUCUAAAAACGAAAUAAGUCGUAACAUAG
rnacentral:rRNA from 1 species